AAGUCGAACGGCAGCGCGGGGCAACCUGGCGGCGAGUGGCGAACGGGUGAGUAAUAUAUCGGAACGUACCCUGGAGUGGGGGAUAACGUAGCGAAAGUUACGCUAAUACCGCAUACGAUCUAAGGAUGAAAGUGGGGGCUUCGCAAGAACCUCAUGCUCCUGGAGCGGCCGAUAUCUGAUUAGCUAGUUGGUGGGGUAAAGGCCUACCAAGGCAUCGAUCAGUAGCUGGUCUGAGAGGACGACCAGCCACACUGGAACUGAGACACGGUCCAGACUCCUACGGGAGGCAGCAGUGGGGAAUUUUGGACAAUGGGCGAAAGCCUGAUCCAGCAAUGCCGCGUGAGUGAAGAAGGCCUUCGGGUUGUAAAGCUCUUUUGUCAGGGAAGAAACGGUGAGGGCUAAUAUCCCUUGCUAAUGACGGUACCUGAAGAAUAAGCACCGGCUAACUACGUGCCAGCAGCCGCGGUAAUACGUAGGGUGCAAGCGUUAAUCGGAAUUACUGGGCGUAAAGCGUGCGCAGGCGGUUUUGUAAGUCUGUCGUGAAAUCCCCGGGCUCAACCUGGGAAUUGCGAUGGAGACUGCAAGGCUAGAAUCUGGCAGAGGGGGGUAGAAUUCCACGUGUAGCAGU
rnacentral:rRNA from 1 species